rnacentral:rRNA from 1 species
ACGCUGGCGGCAGGCCUAACACAUGCAAGUCGAGCGGUAGAGAGAAGCUUGCUUCUCUUGAGAGCGGCGGACGGGUGAGUAAUGCCUAGGAAUCUGCCUGGUAGUGGGGGAUAACGUUCGGAAACGGACGCUAAUACCGCAUACGUCCUACGGGAGAAAGCAGGGGACCUUCGGGCCUUGCGCUAUCAGAUGAGCCUAGGUCGGAUUAGCUAGUUGGCGAGGUAAUGGCUCACCAAGGCGACGAUCCGUAACUGGUCUGAGAGGAUGAUCAGUCACACUGGAACUGAGACACGGUCCAGACUCCUACGGGAGGCAGCAGUGGGGAAUAUUGGACAAUGGGCGAAAGCCUGAUCCAGCCAUGCCGCGUGUGUGAAGAAGGUCUUCGGAUUGUAAAGCACUUUAAGUUGGGAGGAAGGGUUGUAGAUUAAUACUCUGCAAUUUUGACGUUACCGACAGAAUAAGCACCGGCUAACUCUGUGCCAGCAGCCGCGGUAAUACAGAGGGUGCAAGCGUUAAUCGGAAUUACUGGGCGUAAAGCGCGCGUAGGUGGUUUGUUAAGUUGGAUGUGAAAUCCCCGGGCUCAACCUGGGAACUGCAUUCAAAACUGACUGACUAGAGUAUGGUAGAGGGUGGUGGAAUUUCCUGUGUAGCGGUGAAAUGCGUAGAUAUAGGAAGGAACACCAGUGGCGAAGGCGACCACCUGGACUAAUACUGACACUGAGGUGCGAAAGCGUGGGAGCAAAC